GUACUGAAAUGCAAAAAUCCUCCAGCUGCUCUUGUAUUUGGUCUGUUUUAGGUGAGGCUUUGAGGUGUUAUGGAUGUGUUGGAAAAGGCUGUUCAGGUAGACAAGAGAAAUGUGGCUCUCUUUUGCAAAAUCCUGUCUGUGCCAUCAUAGAUGCCCCAAGAUUUUCUAUGAAAGGAUGCAUGAGUGAGUACAUCUGUAGGGAGCAACAGCAGGCUCCCGGUACCACUGCUACCUGCUGCAGUACCAACUUCUGCAACCGCUAAGAAGGACAUCACCCAUGGUCCCUUUAUGACCAUCACUAGCCAAGAAGUUAAAUUCCAUUAAUCAUUCAUAUUUCAUCUGUAUAAAAUAUAAUGUGUACAUUUCAGACAUCUGCAUUAAUUGAUUUGUUUUGUUAAAUAAUGGGAAUUUUUAUUUCCAUUAAAUAAAAGAAUUAACUGCA